UUUACUUUUGAAUAAGAACCGUCCUUGUGC
rnacentral:piRNA from 1 species